CUCUGUAAAAAAUCAAUAAAAAUAUAUUUUUUUAAAAAAAAGCAGCUAGAACAGUUCAGAAGGUCCUCAGAAGUUAAGAACAUAGUUAUCAUGUGACCCAGCAAUUCUAUCCCUGAGGA